rnacentral:ncRNA from 1 species
UUCCCUCAGGAUAGCUGGAACUUACGGCAGUUUUAUCAGGUAAAGCGAAUGGAUUAGAGGUCCUUAGGGUUAAAACAACCUUAACCUAUUCUCAAACUUUAAAUUGGUAAGAAGUCCGACUUGCUUAAUUGAAGCCGGACAGUGAAUGCGAGUUCCUAGUGGGCCAUUUUUGGUAAGCAGAACUGGCGAUGCGGGAUGAACCGAACGCGCGGUUAAGGUGCCAAAGUCGACGCUCAUCAGACCCCACAAAAGGUGUUGGUUGCUCUAGACAGCAGGACGGUGGCCAUGGAAGUUGGAAUCCGCUAAGGAGUGUGUAACAACUCACCUGCCGAAGCAACUAGCCCUGAAAAUGGAUGGCGCUCAAGCGUCGCACCUAUACCGUGCCGUCGGAGCAGAUGCGAAGCUCCGACGAGUAGGAGGGCGUGGGGGUCGUGACGCAGCCUCUGGCGCGAGCCUGGGUGAAACGGCCUCCAGUGCAGAUCUUGGUGGUAGUAGCAAAUAUUCAAAUGAGAGCUUUGAAGACCGAAGUGGAGAAAGGUUCCAUGUGAACAGCAGUUGGACAUGGGUUAGUCGAUCCUAAGAGAUAGGGAAAUUCCGUUUGCAAGCGCCCGAUCUUGGGCCGCCUAUCGAAAGGGAAUCGGGUUAAUAUUCCCGAACCGGGACGCGGAUAUUGCCGUUCACGGCAAAUGCGGUAACGCAAACGAACCCGAAGACGCUGGCGGGGGCCCUGGGAAGAGUUCUCUUUUCUUUUUAACGAGCUUUCACCCUGAAAUCAGCUUGCCUGGAGAUAGGGUUUAAUGCUCGGUAAAGCACCA